rnacentral:lncRNA from 1 species
UCUGCUACAACUUUUGUUUCAUCUUGCUACUGUUGAGACUUAAAAAUCCUCUCUAUAUGCCCUAAUUGACCACACUUGUUGCAUUUUGCAUCUGGCCUCCACCAACACUUCUUCUGUGGAUGAUUGGGUUUUUUACAGUAAGGACAAGUUGGAAAGUCCCGAGAGGUUUUGUCGAUGUUAUUAUUGUAGUUAUUUGAGCUUCCUAACUUGUUAUUCUGUUUCUUUGUCUUGUUCUUGCCACCAUAGUUAUUUUGAGAUUUAGCUUGAAAAGUACCUUCUAUAGAACCUUCCUGCCUCAUAAGCCUUCUUCGUUCUUGACCUUGUAGUGCAUUCAACAAUUCUGCGAGGGUAAUUCUUGACAGAUCCCUUGAGUUUUCCAGAGAAGUAAUUGUAGCUUCAAAUUUUUUAGGAAUUGUGACAAGAAUUUUUUGAACAAUUCUAGAAUUAGAAAACUCGAUACCUAGAAGUCUUACUUUAUUGGCAAGACUGAGAAGUUUGUUAGCAUAAUCUUUGAUUGUUUCUGACUCUUUCAUCCUUUGCAUCUCAAAUUCUCGAACCAAAUUUAGCACUUGCAUUCCUUUGAUCUUUUCACUUCCUUCAUACUCUUGCUUUAAGAAAUCCCAAAUCUUUUUAGCUGUUUUCAUUGUCAUUAUUCUGUUGAAAAUAAUGUAAGAGACGGCUAUUGCUCUUGCUUUUGAUUUUCUUAGCUUCUUUUCUUUAUAAUUUUUCAUUUGAGCAAGAGUUGGAUUGCCUGGUAAGUCAGGAACUUCAUAUUCUUGUUCUCCAACUUACCAUAGAUCAUUAGCAUCGAGAUAGGCUUCCAUUUUAACAGCCCACAUUUGAUAAUUUGUUCCAUCAAAUACUUGAGGUGGAAUUGACAUGAAAAAAUCUUCUAAUUCCAUCUUAGGCUGUUUGAAGGUUUUUGUGUUUUAGCUUUUAAAUCUCACAAAUCCCUUAAGAUCAGUGCUCUGAUACCAUAAUGUUGGUAUGCAGAUAACAAUCAGAAUAAGAUUUAUAUGAGAUUAUAAAAGUAUGCAAUUUAUUGAGCAUCAAGUUCAAUAUUUAUACAAUAACUGAAUAACUAAUUUGCAGAAUAAUCUGUUACAUAAAAGAAUAAAAAUUUAUUUCCAAUAAAAUAGCAUAAAGAAAAGGCUAUAGUUUAACUGUCACUUGACUUCUUCAAAGCUCAUCAUAUGUAACAAUAUCUAUCCAUGUCAGCAGCUUCAUGUGUCAUACUGAUCAACAAAAAUCAAGAUACCACAUCCAAUUUGCAAUGACAUUCUCGGAACACAUAAUGCCCAAUCCAUCGCCCUUCUCGUCGACUAUCUCUCUCCCCAAGAACAACAGAACCCACAUUGACCACUUCCUAAAAACAUGAAAUUCAACCACUAUUGCUUAGAGAACCUAUAGAAAAGUAGUUGAAAAUUUCAUUUGUAAACCAAAGAGCUCCUCAAUCGAGUAUAGGAAAAAGUAUUGCUCUGUUCUUUGAAAUUGAAAAAGAGUUGAAUUGGAAAAUAGGAAGGUUGUGGCUGGCAGAGACAUGCGACGAUCACAAGGUGGAUUCCGUAUAUAAUAGGCAAAAAUAAUGGUGGAUUGUAAUGUGUUUGUGAUCGAAGAGAUAAAUGAAGCAAGUGGAUGAAUUUUUUAGGUUCAGAAUUCAGAUUAUGGUCGAUUGAAGCAGUAGAGUAGUGGAUUGUGGUUUCAAUAUUCUAAGUUUGUGGUUUUGAAUUUUCUAAGUCUUGGACAGUCGAUCGUAAGCUAAGCUCAUUGGAGGUGUAGUGCAGUUGGGCAUCGAUCGAUGUUGGUUUGGGUCCGUUGGCGAUUUUGGUAGAGGAUGACGAUGGUGUAUGACGCUGGUGGCGGUGGUUUGGUUUAUGGCUAGAAGAGUAAUUGGUCUAGCGGUAUCAACGAUGAGGCUUCCGAUCGGAGUAGUGUCGUGGAAGUGGCACCUAGUGGGGUGGUUCAGGGUUUGGGCGAGACUAUUGUGUUUUGAAUAAAUGAUGUGAUGCUGAGUUGGCAGAUGGCUUGACAUUUGGAAGGAGUUAAUUGGUCACAUCAUAUUUUCUUCCUCAACAUCAAUUGAAAUGGUAACCAUAAUCCAUCCGAUGAAUAAUGGAGUAAAGUUCAAUGGCUAAUGGAAUGCAUUAAAAAGUUUGAUGAAUAAGCCGUCAAGGUUUAAUGGCUAUUUAGAAAUUUAACUCGAGAAGCAUGAUUGGCAUCUCCAUUCUUCCUUGACAUUGGAGUUGGAACAAUUUGUCCAUCCAAUGAAGAUACUUUCAGAAGUAUAAUUUCAUAUGAUGGCUUUGUUUGAUUUUUUUUCAAAAAUAAACUUUUCUCUCUUUUUCUUUUGAAUCACACAUUCUUUAUUAAAAU